rnacentral:rRNA from 1 species
GGGGAAUAUUGCGCAAUGGGGGAAACCCUGACGCAGCAACGCCGCGUGGGUGAUGAAGGUUUUCGGAUCGUAAAACCCUGUUUUCUGGGACGAUAAUGACGGUACCAGAUGAGGAAGCCACGGCUAACUACGUGCCAGCAGCCGCGGUAAUACGUAGGUGGCAAGCGUUGUCCGGAUUUACUGGGCGUAAAGGGUGCGUAGGCGGAUGCUUAAGUGAGAUGUGAAAUACCUAGGCUUAACCUGGGUGCUGCAUUCCAAACUGGAUAUCUAGAGUGCAGGAGAGGAAAGUAGAAUUCCUAGUGUAGCGGUGAAAUGCGUAGAGAUUAGGAAGAAUACCAGUGGCGAAGGCGACUUUCUGGACUGUAACUGACACUGAGGCUCGAAAGCGUGGGUAGCAAACA